rnacentral:rRNA from 1 species
GAUGAACGCUGGCGGCGUGCCUAAUACAUGCAAGUCGAGCGAACAGAUGAGGAGCUUGCUCCUCUGACGUUAGCGGCGGACGGGUGAGUAACACGUGGAUAACCUACCUAUAAGACUUGGAUAACUUCGGGAAACCGGAGCUACUACCGGAUAAUAUAUUGAACCGCAUGGUUCAAUAGUGAAAGACGGUUUUGCUGUCACUUAUAGAUGGAUCCGCGCCGCAUUAGCUAGUUGGUAAGGUAACGGCUUACCAAGGCAACGAUGCGUAGCCGACCUGAGAGGGUGAUCGGCCACACUGGAACUGAGACACGGUCCAGACUCCUACGGGAGGCAGCAGUAGGGAAUCUUCCGCAAUGGGCGAAAGCCUGACGGAGCAACGCCGCGUGAGUGAUGAAGGUCUUCGGAUCGUAAAACUCUGUUAUUAGGGAAGAACAAAUGUGUAAGUAACUAUGCACGUCUUGACGGUACCUAAUCAGAAAGCCACGGCUAACUACGUG